rnacentral:rRNA from 1 species
CACGUAGGGGGCGAGCGUUGUCCGGAUUUAUUGGGCGUAAAGGGCGCGUAGGCGGUCAGCACAAGUCAGUUGUGAAAUCUCCGGGCUUAACUCGGAAAGGUCAACUGAUACUGUGCGACUAGAGUGCAGAAGGGGCAACUGGAAUUCUCGGUGUAGCGGUGAAAUGCGUAGAUAUCGAGAGGAACACCUGCGGCGAAGGCGGGUUGCUGGGCUGACACUGACGCUGAGGCGCGAAAGCCAGGGGAGCGAACGGG